rnacentral:rRNA from 1 species
CUGCCCAGUGGCAUAGUCUAAACGGCCGCGGUAUCCUGACCGUGCAAAGGUAGCAUAAUCACUUGCCCAUUAAUUGUGGGCUAGAAUGAAUGGAUAAAUGAAAUAAAAUCUGUCUCAACUAAUAAUUUAUAAAUUAAAAUCUAAUUGAAGAUUAUUAGAUGUAAUCGAAGGACAAGAAGACCCUAUAGAGCUUUCUAUAAUGUAUUAUUAUAUACAUACAGAUUGGUUGGGGCGACCAAGGACUUAUUAAUCAUCCUUAUUGAGAAGAUAUAUAUAUCUUAGAAAAGAUCCUUUAUAAAGAUCAAAAGCAUAGAGUUACCUUAGGGAUAACAGGCUAAUUUUAUUAGAGAGUUCUUAUUUAUAAUAAAGUUUGGCACCUCGAUGUUGGCUUAAGAAUUCAUUAUGGCGCAGAAGCCAUAUAAGAUGGUUUGUUCAACCAGUAAGUUCUU